GCGGGAUUAGUUAAAUGGUAUAACUCUAGUUUUCCAAACUAGUGUCGGGAGUUCGAUUCUCCCAUCCCGCA
rnacentral:tRNA from 1 species